rnacentral:sRNA from 1 species
GUCUAUCACGUCUUGGAAGCAGCAUCCUUUUUCUUGCUCCUUUAGCAAGAAAAAGAUACAGCGGACAGCAGGAAUAAGC